GCGGGCAUAGUUCAGUGGUUAGAACGCUUGACUGUGGAUCAAGAGGUCGUGGGUUCAAGUCCCAUUGCCCGCC
rnacentral:tRNA from 1 species